CGCGUAGGCGGUCUCUUAAGUCGGGUGUGAAAGCCCGGGGCUCAACCCCGGAAGUGCACUCGAAACUAUGGGACUUGAGUAUGGGAGAGGGAAGUGGAAUUCCUGGUGUAGCGGUGAAAUGCGUAGAUAUCAGGAGGAACAUCGGUGGCGAAGGCGACUUCCUGGACCAAUACUGACGCUGAGGCGCGAAGGCGUGGGGAGCAAACA
rnacentral:rRNA from 1 species